rnacentral:rRNA from 1 species
UACGUAGGGUGCAAGCGUUGUCCGGAAUUAUUGGGCGUAAAGAGCUCGUAGGCGGUUUGUCGCGUCUGCUGUGAAAAUCCAGGGCUUAACCCUGGACCUGCAGUGGGUACGGGCAGACUGGAGUGCGGUAGGGGAGAUCGGAAUUCCUGGUGUAGCGGUGAAAUGCGUAGAUAUCGAGAGGAACACCUGCGGCGAAGGCGGGUUGCUGGGCUGAUACUGACGCUGAGGCGCGAAAGCCAGGGGAGCGAACGGG